rnacentral:tRNA from 1 species
GGGUUCAGAGCUCGAGCGGCAGAGCAAUGGUCUAGUAAACCGUUUGGUGUGGGUUCGAGCCCCACUGGACCCC